UCAGCCUCUUGGCUUUCCUAGAUAGUCAUAAGGUUGAAAACCAACAAUCUUUAUCCCAGACUAUAAAACCAAAUUCAGAACACAUCCCAACUUUCCCCCUGGAGUAAUAAGGAACUUAUCAAACAAAAAGUCAAUGAGGGAGAAACUGUACUUGUUGCAGCAAAUAAGGAUGUGAGGGAUAGUGUACCCACAGCUCUACCUCUCAAGAAGAAAAGGUG
rnacentral:lncRNA from 1 species